UGUUUCUAUAUUGUAUUUUUAUUUUUUUGAACCUCCCUGAGAUCUACAGAUGAAGGACAAUAUAACUUUUUAAAUAACAACAACAACAACAACAACAAAACAACAACAACAACAACAACAAUACCAAACAAACAUUGACAAUACAAUUCAAAAUUGUUGGUUCAAUGUGAAUGAUUUUGGGACCAGGGAAUGGUUGAGGUUUUGCUUAUUUGCUAAUUAGUGGGUCAGAGUAUUGCUUUGUUUAUUCUUUAAUCAUUCAAUAAUCAUUCACAUCGAACCAACAUUUUUCCCCAUUUAACUACCUCACCGUGAAGUCUGGUGUCAACAAAACUGUGGUGUGUGGGUUCAGUUCACACGCUCACUAUGAGUGCAUUUGUACAAAACCCUCAAUCAUUUCUUGGCAAUGUUACCUGUUCUGCCUAAGGAGGUAAAGGUAAAGGGGCCCCUGACCAUCAGGUCCAGUCGUGUCCGACUCUGGGGUUGCAGCGCUCAUCUCGCUCUAUAGGCCGAGGGAGCCGGCGUUUGUCCGCAGACAGCUUCCAGGUCAUGUGGCCAGCAUGACAAAGCUGCUUUUGGCGAACCAGAGCAGCGCACGGAAACGCCGUUUACCUUCCCGCCGGAGUGGUCCCUAUUUAUCUACUUGCACUUUGAUGUGCUUUCGAACUGCUAGGUGGGCAGGAGCUGGGACCAAGCAACGGGAGCUCACCCCAUUGCAGGGAUUCAAACCGCCAACCUUCUGAUCAGCAAGCCCUAGACUCUGUGGUUUAACCCACAGCACCACCUGGGUCCCUAAGGAAGCCACCCCCAACCUUGGGUGCUCCAUAGCUGCUGUUGAGACUCCAGCUCCCAUUGCCCCAGAAUGUUGGCCAGACACCAUUCACCCUGCUCCAGGUAGCACUGAUCAUUUUGUUUUGGUUGCCAGAGGCAAUUUUUUGUGUGUGGGUGUGGCAAGGUGCUGAACCCUUGGGAACUUUCCUGCCUACCUGAGGAGAACAGAGCACCAGCUGACCACUGAUACCUCAUUCUUUCCAGCUGGGUUUGAAAGGAAACUGGUCCCUUCAUAAAACAAAAUUUGGGGAAGCAGCAAGAUUGCUCCUGCAGCUGCUGUCUUCUUGGGCUGGGCUUUGGAAUCUCAAGUGCCGUCCUGUUUGGUUUGCUUGGUCAAGGUCUCAAGCUAAUUGUUUCGUGAAGUUUUUUCUUGGUGAUGAUCAUGUUCCCAGACAUGGGUAGCAUAGUUGGAGUGUUCAGUGAGUUGAGAACACAGUGUUCUGUGUCUCUCUGUGUUACAUCAAACUAGCUGCACUUGGAAACCUUUUCUUGUGAUUGCUCAUGUGGAUGACAAGGCGCUCUAGGACCCCCUUCUUUGGAGCUGGUUGGACUUUGUGCUACCUAAGCCAGGAAAAAUUACAAACCUGUUAAGCACUUUCCUCCGGAAUUGUGAUUCGUAGGUCAAUGUCUCACCACAACACGUCAUCACUCGGUGGUUGUGGCUGUUGGUAGCCGUCUGUCUUGAGAGACAAUAGAGUGCUCCUCUGGGGGUGAAGUCAAAUGACUGGAGAAUCACAGCACCUGCUGUGGCUGUAGGCUGGUAACUUGUAGCUUCUGCCUCCCAUGUUUUUGCUGCAUUAGCAGUACCACCUCCCAGGGGUGUGAGCCUGGUCCAAAGGAAAGCAGAGCAAUACAUUUGACACCAGCUUGGCUUGCAGGAGUUGCAGGAAGGAGGCAUAGAAGGUGCAGGGACCCCACUCCAGAUUUGUGUAAGGUUUCCUCCUUCGCCUUUUUCUUCUCCCAAAGAUGUCCCAUAAAGCACAUUUGGCACAUAUUUUGCAUGAGAGAGAAUCUUAGGUUCCUAUCCCUAGCAUCUCUAGGUAGAGCUGGGGAAAGACCCUUGUCUGAAGUCCUAGAGAAGCACUGCCAGUCAGAGUAGACGGUGCUGACCUAGAUGGACCAGUGGUUUGACUGUGUAAAAGGCAGCUUCCUCUGUCCGGUUGGUUGCUUGUUCCUCAGUGUUGUUCACCAAUUCUGCCCAUAUUGCUCAGUUGUCUGAUUUGUCCGUUUCACAUGGUAUGCUGACUGCAAAGCUUCAGAGCUAGAGCUCUAAAGGCCAUGUGGUUGCUGGGGGUUGCCCGGCUGGUGGUGAGCUGUGACGGAGCCUUUUUGGUGGUAGUCUCCCACUCGUGUAAUGCCCUCCCUAAUGAGGCAGGUUUCCUGUUUACCCAGCCAUUUGAUGGUUGAAAAUUCUGUCCCUGUGGUCAUUCCUGCUCUGGUCACUGCUGUAGAUGUACAACCUGACGGUCUGUCUCCAGGCACUGUGGUCAACCCACAUGGCAGGGUUGAUAUUGCCAGCCUUCAUGUCACGUUCGCAUCCACAAACAUCUUUGUAAAUCCAAUAAAUAAAUAAAGUGGCCGUGAGUUAGCAAGGAAAUUAUUUAAGGACAUAAGUGAAGUGCUUCCAACAUGUGACUCAGUGAGUUUGCUCCUGGGUUCAGAUGUGUAUCAGUCACUCUUGAAUUUUGCUUAUCCUAAAGCAGUCUUUCCCAACCUGGUGCCCUCCCAGAUGUUUUGGUUUAAAACUCCUAUCAGCCUCAACCUGCAUGCGCUGGCUGGUGUUGAUGGGAGUUAUGGUUCCAAACAUCUGGGAGGCACCUGGUUGGAAAAUACUGUCCUAAAGCUUUUUUGAUGUCCUUAAGACUAGCCUCAAAGGAUUAUGACUGGGAUAAAUAAGGGAUAGCUCAGUUGAUAGAGCUAUGAGACUCUUAAUCUCAGGGUCAUGGGUUUGAGCCCCACUUUGGGCAAAAGAUUCCUGCACUGCAGGAGGUUGGAUUAGAUCAGGCAUCCCCAAACUUCGGCCCUGCAGAUGUUUUGGACUACAAUUCCCAUCAUCCCUGACUACUGGUCCUCUUAGCUAGGGAUCAUGGGAGUUGUAGGCCCAAACAUCUAGAGGGCCGCAGUUUGGGGAUGCCUGGAUUAGAUGAUCCUCAUGUUCUCUUCCAACUCUGCAAUUCUAUGAUUCAGUAUAAUGCAGCUGCCUAUGAAACACUUCGUGUGAUAAUAAGCACAAUAGUUACCGGUAAUCCUAAUGACAACCUACACCUGUUGCCUUUUUAUUUCCUUAAAUUGGUAUCCCCCCGCCUUGAAAAGUGCAUAACAGAACAUAAAGACCCACUAUGGCCACCUUGGAAAUGUGAUGGAACAGUAAGACUAACCAUCAAUUGUUAGCCCAAUCAUGGCAAAUUUAACCUGGACUUGCAACUUGAGCUCCUUGUGUUGCCUUCAUGGAAACCCUUGGGGGGAACUUCAGAAUUGAUGAGCUGCGUUUUCUCUGCGUAGUGUAAAGCAUUUGAAGACUGACAUAGACAAAUGAGAAACACACAGUCCCUUAAUGUAGAGCAAAGUAAUUAACCGUGAUUCAUUUAGAACAGGCAGAGGUAGCUGUUUUGUGGAGCAGGGCCUCAUUUGUUAAAACCCAGCUGUAGCACAAACAUCAGCUCCUUUUGUCUUGAGUUUUUUAACCCAGUAACUAGAGGGCAAAGGGUUGAGGUGUCAGGCAUGAGUGCAGACAGGUAUAUGGGUGUGGGCAGGUGGUGAGCUCUUUCAGGAGGUGCCUAGGCCAGGACUGGGAGCCCACAUCUUUGCAUUCAGUUGCCCUAUGUAGUAAACCACCAGGAAAACAGAUUGGAGCCUCUUCCUAGGCAUGGUCCAAGUAAUGGAGAAUCCUAAGUAUUUGAGAUACAGUAUACAUAUUAUUCACCCAGGCUUGCUGUUGACUCUAGAAGUGUAUAAGGGCUUCCUCUACAGACUAGUACUUUGCCUAGGUGGCAAUAGUCUUUGCUGCCUCCAUCUCCUGGCUUGUUCUGGUGUCUCAACUCUGAUUCCUGGUUGUGGCUCCCAAUAAAACUCCCAUAAUAUUAUUCUGCUAUUGCAAACCUACAUAACCUCAGAACAAGUGCGUAACUUCACAACAGAACAAAAGAUAAGGCUAUAUAGCUGCAAGUGUUGUCCGCAUAGAUCCCAUUUUAUCUAUUGGUGGCUCCAAUUGAUUGAAAAUGAACUAUCCAGACACUCUUCUAGUUGACCAGAGAUUCCAUGUCUUGUUACCUGGAGAGCCACUUCCACGCCUGCUACGGAGGUGGGGUUGUGGGCUUCCCGACUAAACCAUUGCUCAGGGACUGCUAGCUCAGCCCCUGCGUGAUGGAAGGUUCCCGCCUGCAUCACACCCGGACCGACCAAUCAGGUUGGCCGGGGGUGGGGCUUCGAGUUUAAAGCCCCCUGCAGGCGGGAACUCUGCCUCUUUACGCCCUGUUCGCCAGAGCGAACGAUUCACCCGCCCGCCCACCCCUUAGGUAGGGGACGCUGCUAUGAACGUCAGUUGGUCGCCCUGGUUGGCCAGGGGGCCUGGUAGGAUUUUUCCCAUUGGGGGUUAGCCGCAAUGGGUUUUUCGCCUACCUCAUAGCAAUCCGUCACAACUUAGGUUAGGCGGUUAGGCGUUGGAAAUUUGCAUAACAAUGAGACGGGGAGGGGCAGGUUACGUCAGCAACUGCCCAAAUUUGGAGAAGUAAUUCUGUUAAAGGAUUCCGGGGGUGGGGCUUGGUCCUGAGCCUGGAGAUGCCAGGGCCGUAGGGCACGCCCCUUCGGUGGCCACAGGAGGAGUUCCGAUAGAUGUACAUCACUGGUGGUUAACUUCUCAUGGGCUCCAACACACAGGUUGGAGUCGGAUAUAUUCUGAUAGGUUCCAACGCCUAACCCAAUUCCACUCAACGUUCGUAAUCGAUAAAGUUGUGGCCUUAACCACCCAAUUAAACUCAUUUACCGCGUCUUGUGUCUUUAUUACACAGGAAGGAGGGACAUUGCCACACAAGUUAAUUCUUGCUCCACAUAGGUGACCAGAUGAGUUUUUACUCUUUCAGUAGUCUAAAGUAAGGGGUAAGGGCAAGCGGGAUAAGAUAGAGCAUUUCCUUAUCUUCAAUAAAAAAUGGUGGAUCUGAAGUCUUUUGGUCUAUGAAGCAUUUUACAAAAAAAUUAUUUAUUUUUUACAAAAUUGGGAAUGAAAGGCUGGAGAUCCAUGGGACAGAGCCCUUGCUCUUGCUAGAAGGAACGUGCUUGCAAGGUAGGAAUACAAAGAAGCAUCAUUAACCUUUAUAAUUAGCCUAUCCAUGAGCUAGUGGCAUCAAUUAAACUGCAGACAUCUGGAAAGGUUAUUUUCCGCCUUGAAGAUUAAUGUGAGAAUAAGGGAGACCACUCACCUUUGCCCAGCUGCAGGAGUUGAAGCUAUUACCAGUAAGUGGACAUUUGAUCUCUUUGCUCUCCUGUGCUGCGAGAGGGCAGCUCCUAGCUUUGUGCAGGAAAGAUAAUUUCUGAGAAUAUUCUUGCUAACAAAGCCAUCAGUCAUGUCUAACUUGGUAACUUUGUGUUGCUUGAAAAAGAGUGGGUUUGAGAAACAUGAGGUGAACAUUCUGUAGUGAGAGAGGUCGAAUUCUGCAGCUUGUGCAGGUCACAUAAAUUGAAGUACCGUAAAUGUCCCGUGAUUUAUCUUACUUUGUCCAGUUUUCCUACUUUUCUUGGGUUUGGUGGGUUUAGGAGAAGAGCUGCACAAGACCUUGAGUCGUAGAAUUGUAGAGCUGGAAGGGACCCUUCUAUCGUGUCACCUCAAAGUUUUAUUUUCUCUAAACCAAGUGGACAAAGUGGGUAUGCCCAUUCCACAUAAACUCUUCUCCAUGUCUUGUCACGAUGAUUCGUGGUUGAGUGUGUGAAUGGGGCACAUUGCAAAGAGUACACUGCCAGAGGUUGUGUCAGGCAACGCACAUGCUCUAGCAAUGGCAUUUGAUCUGUGAGGGCUGCUUCAUGCGUUCCUUAUGCCCUCCUCCUUGCAGCAUUGCCGCUGGGAGCCCAGGCAGCAGUAUACAUGAGGGAGGUAGCCGUCACCAAAGGCAGCCUGCCCAGGACCCCUCAAAAUCCUGUGCGGAAGGCUGAGAAUGCCGGCACCAUUGCAUUCUGUGAUUCAAGUCUUAAAACUGGCCUUUCAGAUCCAAAUUGUAAACUUGGCAAGGUCUGAAGCACCCAGCUGAGUGCUUCUGAACAAACAAGGGAUCAGCUGUUCAGGCAAAUCUUUUGUGAAACGCGAGGGAGGGGAAAUAAACCUUGGCAGGCUGAUUGCAUUAGCAGCGAAUGGUGUUUGUUGGGGGUCUUUUUAUCACUUUCGUUGUCCACAGGGAUUCCUUGUAUAUAUGUAUGCGUGAGUGUGCCUUAGCGGGUGUUGCACUUAGAAGGGGAAAUGUGCAGGGAAGAUUGACGGCUGUGCUCCUGAAUUUGGCAGAUUUGGAAAACUUGUUGCAUCCAGAUUUCAGUCCUCUUGGUAUUAGUUGGUCUACCUGCAGCGCUGUGGGGGGGGGGUAGGGGGGUGUUGUAAGUAUUUGGAACCUCAUUUCUCUCUCGGCUCACUAGCUGGAGAGGUGGAAUUUUACAUUCCUCACACGGGAGCUUGACAGAUGCUGAAUAUAUUUUUUGUCCUUUUUUAAAGUGGUUGAUGCUAUGUGGACAGUUCACCUAGUCAAAUAUUCUGCUUUUCUGUCAAGGCAAGCCCAUAAGCAGGGAAAGAAAGUGAUGGGUGGCCAGCAAUGGAAAAACUGGGAUAGAAUGAAAAACAUGCAAUAGAGUAUCUUGCAGGAGCACAUGGCCAGCUGGAACCCUGAACAGGAGGGUUUCUGUUAGGUGAGAAUGCUCAGCUGCAUUUUGUUGCAGGAGCCACUGUCGCGGCUGAUUCCUAAGCCUAGAGAUUAUUGCCACAUCUUGUGGCAGUGAACUCCCCAAGUUCACUUAAUGCAUUGCGUGAAGAAGUACGUCCUUUGUCUGUUUCUGUCUACUGCAGUGGUUUCUUUUCUUUUCUUUUCUUUUGUUUGCUACUGGGGGUAUUCUUGUCAUCUGACCUAUUGUGAAAUAUCACAGAUUGGGGUGGGGGGAACAGGACACAGUUCUUAUUCCUCUCUUUAAAACACCACAUUCGCUAUUGAGCUAUGCUCUCUAUAUAGGGCAACUGCUUUAUUGAUAACUCUUAUAAUGCUUAACCUGGACCAAUAUGUAGUAGUAAUGCAUCAUCUAAAGUUGAAACCUUUUUAUUGCAAUGGGAAGAGCAUGGAGUGUCUGUGCUCUGAUUUGUCUUUGCUAUUUUGUGCAGAACAAUAGUGGUUUGCUACCCACUGAUCCAUCUCUAUCCUACGUAAUUUAAGAGAAGGAUGACGGAGGGUUUUUCAAUGUUCUCUAAGCUUGUUGAUGUGGCUGUCAGAGGGGUUUUUAUUUGGGGUCUUGGGGAGCAGUACACCAUAUUGUGUAACAAACGCAUGCAAUCUCUCCUGGAGUACAAGUAAUAAAUAAAAAUUCUUUGCAGCUUUUGUGUUUUUCUGAGAACUGAAGCGUUAGUUUUAAGAGGGACUAGUUUGACUUCACCCAUCUAGGCCUAUGCCAGCAGCAGCAAAGGACUUUCUGUUCCUUCCUGUCAGCUGUGAGCAAAAUUACAAAAUCACCCACUGUGUUGGGAGGGUGGGGGGUAGUUGGUUGAUCUGUUUGAGUUGAUUUCCUCCUGCUUUUCACCCGGUUCCCAGGACUUACAAAAAGUUCACAUUGCAACAAAGCAAAUGAAAAAUAAACAUGGAAGCAACAGCAUUAAAGAACACUAUAAAACAGUCAGCAUAAUUAAAAAUAAACACCUGCAAUAUAAAAGCAGCAACAUAAAAGUCUCCAGUCAACGUAUAAUUUUAUGUUUUUAAAACUUGGCAUCUAGGUAAGUUCUGGGUAGAGCAAGUGUUGCAUAGCCUGGGGUCCCACCACUGAAGGCCAUCUUUUGAAGGUCUUAGGCAGAUAAGGAGACAUGCGGUCCUUAAAGUAUCCUGGCCCUUUAUGUGCCUCAGAUGUGACUCCGACAGAGCCUUUACUUCUAUUGGAAUAUGUGAGUUAGUGAGCCAUCACCCCUGUCUUUGGCCUGCCUGAUGGCUUGGAACUGGCUUCAGAUGGGAGGCUGUUGGCGACUAGAUUGGUUUGCGUGGCUUCCUGUUGUUUGUCUCCGUAUUUAAGGUUUGACCCCUGAAACGGUUGCAGGAAGUUGACCUUUCCUUAAGUCACAGCAAUUGGAAAGGCCUUCUGAGGCUCUCAAGUCAAAACACUUGCCAGCACACAAAAUGAUUUAGAAGAAGGGGGUUCACGUUUUUAUGCUAGAACAACCAUAGAAAUCAUCAUGUGGAAACAUUGCCUUCUGUUCUGCGCAGGUAGGAGAAUGUUUACAACCUGUCUCUCUGAUUUGGUAGCAUCGUGCAGAUUUGGCAACGCCACUUCCAGGCUUUCAUUGGGAUGAAUUCACCCCACCCACUUUUAGGAGGAAGACUUACAAGGUCUCCUCCCAAAGGGAGCUAGUGAGGGAUUCUCCACAUGGCCUCUGGUUCAAGUUUGAUGCAGCCUCUUGGGGCUGGUAGGCUUCCCAUAUACUGUAAAGCAAGCAUCCCCAAACUUCGGCCCUCCAGAUGUUUUGGACUACAAUUCCCAUCAUCCCUGACCACUGGUCCUGUUAGCUAGGGAUCAUGGGAGUUGUAGGCCAAAACAUCUGGAGGGCCGCAGUUUGAGGAUGCCUGAUGUAAAGGAAACUCCUCCCUCAAGCUCUUCCUCUUUUCCCUGUUUCAGCUGGGGGGCAGGGGGGUUUGGUUUUGUGCUCUUGGGACCUGCUGUGUGCCACCUGCUGAAUGGUGAACAGUUGGGGGGGGUUGUGGCUGGGAAAGGUCAGGUCACACCCCCACAACUUCUCUUUAGGGGAAGAGGCUGUUUGCCUACCAUCACACCUAUAUAAGUGAUGGAGCUUCUCUUGGGUGGUUUGGCUCUUGGAAGCAGGCAAGAAAUCUCUUGCAUGUACAGAUUAUAACUGCCUGCACUUGUUUGGUUUGCAAGUUGUUAUUUGUUUAUAUAAAUAUAACCUUUAACCAAUUGCUUGAAUGUUGAGUCUUCAUUCUGGGUGUGGGGUAACUGGCUGUUCCUCCAGUUUCAUUCUACCUGCCUGUCUGAUGUGGCUUAGUAAUAAUAAUAAUAAUUUAUUAUUUAUACCCCGCCCAUCUGGCCGGGUUCCCCCAGCCACUCUGGGUGGCUUCCAACAAGAUAUUAAAAUACAGAAAUCCAUCAAACAUUAAGAGCUUCCCUAAACAGGGCUGCCUUGAGAUGCCUUCUAAAGGUCUGGUAAUUGUUGUUCUCUUUGACCUCUGGUGGGAGGGCAUUCCACAGGGCGGGUGCCACUACCAAGAAGGCCCUCUGCCUGGUUCCCUGUAACUUGGCUUCUCGUAGCGAGGGAACCGCCAGAAGGCCCUCGGAGCUGGACCUCAGUGUCCGGGCAGAACGAUGGGGGUGGAGACGCUCCUUCAGGUAUACUGGACCGAGGCCGAUUUCUCUUUCCCUGCCAUAUCAAUAGAGUGAAGAGUAGCCAUCAUGGGUCCAUUUUCUUCCCACCCCCACCCCUUCAACAAGAGGAGAGCCUCUGGUUGAAACUUACUUGAAACACAUCUGGUUUAAAUCAAAGUGUUAAAUGGUGCAUGACAGUUGAAUUCAUCCUGGGAUGUUGGAGAAUGAUUCACAAAAAAGUCCUGUCUGGAAAUAAUGGGUGGGGUACUUUUGACAGCAGACAGUGACUGUCAGUCUUGGGAUUCCCCAUGACUCAAAGGAGCACAUGGUGUCUUUGGAAACUGUGUGGAGUCCACUCUGUUCUCUAAUUUAUGCAGUCUUUCCUUAAAAAAUCAUCCUCUGUGUAUGAUGCUUAUAAGGUAAAGGUAAAGGGACCCCUGACCAUUAGGUCCAGUCGUGACCGACUCUGGGGUUGCGGCGCUCAUCUUGCGUUAUUGGCCGAGGGAGCCAGCAUACAGCUUCCAUGUCAUGUGGCCAGCAAGACAAAGCUGCUCCUGGCGAACAGCACACGGAAAUGCCGUUUACCUUCCCGUCGUAGUGGUACCUAUUUAUUUACUUGCACUUUGACGUGCUUUCGAACUGCUAGGUUGGCAGGAGCUGGGACCGAGCAACGGAAGCUCACCCCAUCGCAGGGAUUCGAACCGUCGACCUUCUGAUCAGCAAGUCCUAGGCUCUUUGGUUUAACCCACAGCGCCACCUGCGUCCCUUGAUGUUUAUAAGAGUAGAUGGCAAAUUUUAAAUUUUCUCCAGGGCAAUGAGUCUUGAAGCAUGUUUUGACUAGAAGACUGUUAGUGCUCGAAGGCAGAGGCACCUACCUGCAUUUGAGUCCCGGCAGGUCUGGAGCCAAAUGGAGAGCUCAGAUAGAUCUAUGGGAGGGAGUUGUCUAGUGAGGUUCUGGGUGCAAUUGUUGCUUGCUGAAAGAGGCCUACACCCAGGCAGCGCCAUCUUGAAGCAUGGGAUCCAAAGUGGAGGAAUGAGAAGGUGGGGGGGCUGGGAAUCCCCCCUUACCCCUUCCAUUGUUAUUGAGCCCCUAGGGCAGCGUUUCUCAACCACUGUUCCGCGGCACACUAGUGGCUGGUGUGCGGCGACGUGCGGCAACGAGAAGGGCGAUUUGCAUUGUCAUGUGCCUGGCGGCCGCCAAUAAACAACACUGACCCGCCGGAAAGCAAUAUUUCUCCUCCUCUUUCCCAAAGCUCAGUGCAAACGAGCCUGGCGGCCGCCAAUACACAACUCUGACCCGCCAGAAAGCAAUAUUUGGCAAGUGUUUCUUACAGUCAUAAUUAUAAUAUAGGGCGGCACAGAGUUAAAUUUUUUAACUUUUUUAAUGGUGGUGUGCCUCGUGAUUUUUUUUCAGGGACCAAGUGU